AGAUCCCGUGAACCAUCGAGUCUUUGAACGCAAGUUGCGCCCAAGCCAUCAGGCCAAGGGCACGCCUGCCUGGGCAUUGCGAGUCAUAUCUCUCCCUUAAUGAGGCUGUCCAUGCAUACUGUUCAGCCGGUGCGGAUGUGAGUUUGCCCCCUUGUUCUUUGGUGCUGGGG
rnacentral:rRNA from 1 species